GACGAACGCUGGCGGCGUGCUUAACACAUGCCAGUCGAACGGAAAGGCCCUGCUUUUGUGGGGUGCUCGAGUGGCGAACGGGUGAGUAACACGUGAGUAACCUGCCCUUGACUUUGGGAUAACUUCAGGAAACUGGGGCUAAUACCGGAUAGGAGCUCCUGCUGCAUGGUGGGGGUUGGAAAGUUUCGGCGGUUGGGGAUGGACUCGCGGCUUAUCAGCUUGCUGGUGGGGUAGUGGCUUACCAAGGCUUUGACGGGUAGCCGGCCUGAGAGGGUGACCGGGCACAUUGGGACUGAGAGACGGCCCAGACUCCUAUGGGAGGCAGCAGUGGGGAAUAUUGCACAAUGGGCGGAAGCCUGAUGCAGCAACGCCGCGGGCGGGAUGCCGGCCUGCGGGUUGUAAACCGCUUUAGCCUGUGACGAAGCGUGAGUGACGGUAAUGGGUAAAGAAGCACCGGCUAACUACGUG
rnacentral:rRNA from 1 species